AGAGAUGUCCUGCAGGGCAUAGAGAAGCCCAUCUUAUGUAUCCAUUACCAGCGUGCAGGGCUACGUUUUGCUCAUCACAGGAAUCUCUGUAAUUUACCAAGGUCUUGGGGGAUGGACACCCGGUAGAAACCCUUGGAGAUCCAGGAAUACAGCAAAAUGUUGGAAGCAAGGAGCAGCUCUGCUGCAGCCGCCCGCAGGAAGGCUGCAGGCAUCACGAAGGGGAUGGGGGAAAGCCUUCGGGAGCCUCAUCCCAGGAGCCGAAACCAUCCGAGUGCCAAUGGGGUCCAACCUGUUAAGGAUCAGGGCUGGUGUGGACCAAGGCUUUGCCAACUACGCGGCAGCACCAGGGACCUAGGUGGCCCCCUGGAGUAAUCAUAUGGAACAUUGCGUCUCUCCAGCAUGGUGACCAUCUUCUCCUGCUGUGGGGAGAGCUUCAUGCACUCUCUGAGGUACGCAGACCAGGGAGUGGCCAGAUCUCCGUAGGUGGGUACGCCCUUUAUUUUUCCGGUUAUUCUGAUGACUGCCACACUCAGGGAGUAGCUGUUGCUGAUGGUGUCUGAUGUCACUCCUUUCAUCGAGCAUAUUAUCUCUGACCGUGGUCAGUGAUCUCUCGCUGAGGGAGACAUUUUAUUCCCAACUUCUCUCGGUGGUUGAUGAGUGCCCAUGGAGUGACACUCCUCUGGUCAUGGGUGACAUCUGUAUGACUGCUGGCACUGACGGGGCUGGCUGUGGGGAUUGUGUCGGUCCCCACGGGUCUGGCGACCAUUGUGAAAGUGGCUCCAUGUUCCUUGAGUUUGCGAAAAGUCAGGGGCUGUGGGUCACUAGAUUCUGAUUCCUGCACCCUGAGCCACAUUGCUGAACUCCAGUACUGGUGGUGCAGAGAAGGAGACCGAUCACAUCCUCAUGGGCAGCAGUGGGAGGAUCCUACAGAACUGCAGCGUCCAUCAAAGUGCCCAGUUUUUGAAUUCUGACCACAGACUUAUUGUCGCUACUCAUUCUCAUUGAGUAUAAACACUAAUAUCAGCGGAGUUUCUUUGCAGCCAUUGUUGAUUUUUGUAAAAUGUUUGAUUUAGUUGAUCGAGCUGGCCUCUGGGACAUCACGAGACUUCGUGGGAUCAUAGCCGGCCCAUACACUGACACUAGAGUGCUGUGCAGAGUGGAGGCAGAACCUCUAUGUUGUUCCCAGUGGAUUCUGGGGUUCAUCAGGGGUGUGUUCUUGCUCCUACUCUGUUCAGCGUUUACAUGAACUCGGUGUUGGGCAGGGUUGUAGGAUCCAGUGGGGCACCUGUUGGGGAGGAAAGAUUUACUGAUUUUCACUUUGCUGAUGAUGCUGUGAUCUUUUCAGAGUCAAUGGAGGCUCUGCUCGGGGUUCUUGAGAGUGUAUGGAUUUCUGAAUGUCUUGGAUCGAAACCAAGAUGCAGGCCUUUAAUGACCUCUUGGGCACAGCCAUCAGUAGUGUGUCUGUCUGCAGAGAGAAUGUUGAUCUCAUCGAGAGGUACACUUACCUGUGCAAUGACAUUCAUGUGUCUGGUGACUCUUCCUGUGAAGUCAGUAGAUGUAUUGGGAGAGCAUGGGAGGCUCAUCACGUUGCUCAAAUCGGGUCUGUGGCGCUGCCAAUAUGUUUGUAAGAGGAUGAAGGUCUAAGUAGCUCUGGAGCUCCCUGUUUUGCUGUAUUGUUACAAGACAUGGAUGCUCCCCAGUGACCUCAGGCAAAGACUGGACUCCUUUGGGACUGUGUCUCUGUGAAGAAUGCUUGUUUAUCACUGCUUUGACUUUGUGUUGGACGAAUGGUUGCUCAGGGAGUCCUGAAUAAGGCACAUCAUCUGCAUUAUGAGGGAGCAUCAGUUACGGCACUGUGGCCAUGUGGCAUGUUUCCCUGUGUGUGAUUCGGCUCGCAGGGGAUACCUAUGUAACACAUGGCUGCGGCAGAGAACUGAGCACUUCUGGAGAGUGGGACUGGACUGUGUGUUGGCCUAGGGGGUUGUCAGCUGGGAUCCUGAGGUGUUUCAUUGUGUAGUGGGCGGGGCGACGGCUUGUACCAGUGCAUGCUCUCCAACCUCACCUAACCUACUCCAUGUUGUAGCUAAAGACCUGCUGCUUCAUAUGGCCGCUGUAUAUUGUUGUGAGACUCGUUGCAUACAGCAUGGUGGCGCUGUAGCCCCCUCCCUGAAACCCCUCCCCACAAGCCUCUAGUUCUGCAGCUCAGAAGCUGGUGAUUUGGUGAUUAUGCUGACCCAGUGUAUGUGUAGGUCUCCAAUGCAAGCUGUGAUUCAUCCAACAAUUCCUGCUUGAAAGAGGACAGAGUGCAGUUAAUGGAAGGCAAUUAAAGCAGCAAAUCCUUCCAUGGUUAUCUGUCUGCCAUUAAGAGCAGCCUACAUUUUGCCCAGGAGUGCUUUGAGGACUCAGUGCUAAUACAAAUGUAAAUGAGAGUAUGGGCACCUCAUCGGAGAAAUUCAUUCAUAUAAAUAUUUAUUAAAAAAUGUUUAGAAAACAUUUAUUAUCUCAUAAAGUGAAACAUCACAGAUAGACUGGCUUCAUGAUUUAGGAAUAGUAAAUAUUAAUAUUAGAUAAUCGAAUUAUUGUGAUAUUUUAUUUUGUUUAUGCCUUUCACACCGAAACAUCAUAUUUAAAGUUGAAGAAAUUCUAUACAUGGAAUAUUUAACAGAAUUUCCAGUAAAUUUGACUUAAAAUGAAGCAAAAUCAAGCGUUACAUUGUCAAGAAAAACUAUUCGGAAAUGAAUGAGAACACGCUAUUUAAACUAAUUAUGUACAUUUACUUGGGGGUGGGGGCGCUAAAGAACGUUUUACAUUUUAGAACAAGCGACGCCCCACCCUACAAUGAAGCGGCGUGUAUCGUAACUGUACGCCUAGAAACAGGUGUUCGUCUGAAGGGUAUCGGAUCAUCCCGAGAAACCCGUCUUCGAGCCUAUGCCACGCGCUAUAAAGCUAUAAUAAGCUAACCUUCUUCACUUAAAUUACAUAGUGAAAUAUAUUAACUUAUAUUAACCACCUGUGAAUUACAUUAUUUUCAUUAUUUAAUUCUGGAUGUUCGCUGUGAACUUUCACUGUCUUUUUUUUUUUUUUAAUAAGAAAAGCGUUACUUUCAAGUCUUCUAAAGUCAUAAAGAAACCGUGUUGCAUUUCGGCCUCCGACAAAUGCGAGUUUGGCUCCCCGCCGUUUAUAAACUUGUGGCUAUUUCUCGCCAUAAUUCAUUCGGUAUAUGUUUAUCAAUCUGAAAUCUCAAUACAUGUUAUAGUAUUGUUAUUCCCGGUUAUGAGUAUAGAUGGUAGGAUAUCAGAUAAUUCUACGCAGAAAACGACACAAUGCUACUCAUGGAACUGAACAAAUACGGGAAACGCCUAAUGAAAACAGGGGAAAUCACAGCUAAUUUUAAUCUGCCUUUAUCUUUAAUGUCUGCACAUUUGCGCUUUUCAAAGCGCUUUUUAGGCACGGUAAUGUUUCGAUCAAUCGGUAAUCAUCUUGAGCAUAGACCGUUUAGUUCUGGUUCUCGUAUUAACUCACGUUUUAGAUAGUCAUGUUUAGCAGACUUGUGACUUUUAUUUCUUUCAUCUAUUAAGUCCAUUUUUUCCAUUGCGGACUUAUUAAAAUGACUUCCUAAAUUCUAAUGUUUAAAGACCUAUACUAUAUUUACAUAUUAUAUGUUUAAGCUUGUGCACUUCGUAAGUGAUUAUCUGUACUCUAAUAUUCCGAAAACACAUACGUUCAUUUUGGUUCUAUAGAAAUCCGCAUUCAUCGUGGUAAACUUUUAUAAAAGUAUAUCAACCAGUUCAUCAUCAGUGAUCUUGUUAUUUACAGUCAUUGUGCUGUACAGGAGAUAUAUGUGCACUUUGUCAGCUUCUUGUGAAUAAAUAUUUUCCUUAACAUUAAUAAUGCUGACUGGUGUUUAUACUGUCCUGUAUUAAUUCUGCCACCCAUAGUAAACAAAAUCACUGCUUGGGUCUCCAGGAGAAGCAGUAACCAGGCACUUUCCAUUUCAUGGCAUCUCAAGGACCGGACAAAAAUGACUGGAGUGGGUACUGCAGGCCCAAUGGACUCCCUCUGAGUAGGGACUGUGGGCAAUGGGCCUGCUGCUGGCAGUGGGUCUGGGGGCUGCCAAUGGCGACCAUGCCCCUGUUGAUCCCACAGGGAGGGCAGAGGAUUGUUGCCGGGCAACCAGAGGCAGAGACAGGUUCUUGUUUCUGCACAGGGCGCUCAGGUCCGGGAUUGGAGUCACAGGUACUGAAGAGUUAGAUGCUGGCAAUAUGGCCCCUUCAGGGUCUGGGACUAGCACUGGUGAACCAGGGUCAAGCUAGAUGGGGUCUGGGGACGCUGCAGCACAGGUGAGCUCUGUGGACGCCGCAGCACAGGUGGGUUUGGGACGCCGCAGCACAGGUGGGCUCUGGGGACGCCGCAGCACAGGUGGGCUCUGGGGACGCCGCAGCACAGGUGGGCUCUGGGGACGCCGCAGCACAGGUGGGCUCUGGGGACGCCGCAGCACAGGUGGGCUCUGUGGACGCCGCAGCACAGGUGGGCUCUGGGGACGCUGCAGCACAGGUGGGCUCUGUGGACGCCGCAGCACAGGUGGGCUCUGUGGACGCCGCAGCACAGGUGGGCUGGGGACGCUGCAGCACAAGUGGGUUCUGUGGACGCCGCAGCACAGGUGGGCUCUGGGGACGCUGCAGCACAGGUGGGCUCUGGGUCCGACAGAAAAAGUCCCAGAAGCAGUUCAUACAUUUCAAAGUCUGUAGGAUCCCAGACUCAGAUCAGCUCUUGCUGGGGAACGUGCACUAGUACAAAACACUACAGAUCCCAAAGUCUUCUUAUGAAUGUGUGUAUGAAUUUUCGUGGUUAUUUUGUUUGUACCAAGUCUCUAUAAAUGAGCCCCCAGCAUCGUCACACCGAAGUAAGCCUGGCUUACUGCUACUUAUCCCCAUAGUUAUAUUGCUAAGCAAGGACACUGGACAAGUGGGUGGAAACAGGUGGACGUUACCAUUAGGCAGUUUACGCAACUGUGCAUUUACAGUGUCUUACAGUGUCUUUGAUACUGUCCUGCUACUGUGGCAGACAUGAAUGGACAUGGAGAAAACACAUUUAAAGGAAUGUGUGGAAAAACUGAAGGUUAACCUUAUCAAAAGUGGGAACAGUUAUAUUUCUUAAAUUUGACCAAUUGGCCCCUACCCUCGAUUGGCAUGUCGGCACAGCAUUUUGGAAAAGUGACUAGAGGGGCUUCAUUGGUGAUAGAGCCUACCAAGGUUCCAGACCUGUGGACAUAAGCUGAAAAGCAUAGUCACUUAUGUAAACUGCAUAAGUUUGGAUAACUUUGCUUGACAUAUACUUGUUUUCACAAUGUUAAUGAAUGUUUUUACGUAGUGUAGGAGGACGGAUGUAUUCAUUCUCUCCUUUUAUUGCUUUCUUUUUCACUUGGAAGUUCAAUCAGUGACUCUAAUUUCAUAAAAUUGUUGAUGAUAGUGACCUCAAAUGACAGGUACGUAUGUUAUUUACCUUAUUGAGUUACAUGGUGAAAUAGGAACCUUCAACAUUAAUGUCACCAGAAGAAGAAGGCAUGCAGAAAUGAUAUGAGUGCUCAAGCACUGCCGAGCUCAGAGAUACUAAAAAUUCAGCUGCAUAAUAUCUCGAAAUAUCUCCAAGACUAUUAUUCAGACAACAGAAAAAAGAGAAAAAUCUACUCAGUCUGUCAAUUGAAAAACACAACGUGGCAAUAAUCUGCAAUUUCCUAAAGCUUGUGCAGUGUCUGGGAUCCUGCUAUCAGGUUGUCCCUCACUCACCCCAACCCCAGACAGAAAUGCAAGUCUUUUAACAAAUGUGUGUGAGUAUCUUCAGAGACCCUUGACUUUCUCCAGUCUUGUCAUGCCUGUUGUUGACAGGACUGUUUUAGGGUUGUACCAAACCAGGCUGACACAUGCACUGCCUGCCUCCUCUCACUCAUUUUCUUACAAUACAAACAAAGCUCUGGGUCCAGGCCAAGGUUGGUAAAAUGCUUCUAUCAACCUCUGCCAGCCACCCCCUACUCAGCAGCUUUCACAAGCACCCCCAAAUCUGUCAUUCUGGUAACACCGCUGCUGAUCCUCCAUAAAAGUCUUGCACCCCCUAUCAGAUUUGUAUCUGGUCCCCCUAGAGCACUUGUUGAGGGUUAAAUGCCAGGUACAGGCAUCCAGGACAGCUGCAGUAAGCGCAUUGUCUGUCUGAACUUCAGCAAAAAGUCACAGAGUGGAACGGACUUCCCAGAGGAUUCACGACUGCGGAAUCCCUUCCACUCUUCUGCAUGACCCGAAACCAAAGGCAUAACUUGGGGGGGGUUGAAGUCUCCUCCCAUUUAGGAGGUUCCAGGGGGUUGUAUUGGUCAGUUUUAAUGAUUGGGGGGGGGGGGGGUACCACCCUCCCACCUCCUGUAACUUAUGCCUCUUAUGACCAGGAACACAUGAGACAUGGAUUUAGUUGCUUAGCAGAUGUUCUGAAACAACAGGGCAUUAUGGAGUCCUGCGUGGAAAACCCCUUUCAAGAAUACAUGCCUACUGAUUCCCGUAUGUAUCGGAGGCCUCUCUUUAAACUAUUACUGAUUUCUCUACUUAUACCCAAUGACCUUUAAGCACUUUUGAUAAAGAUUACGAAUACUUCUAAAUCCGGAUGUUUGCGGAGGUGAAGCAGCCUAAAUCUUUUAAUCUAUCUGUUCAACACAUUAAUUGGUCUGCUCGAUUCCAUUCCAUCCCUUUUGACUUGUAUACUAAAUUCUUCCAUGUUCCCACAUAUUCAAAGAAUGAGUCAUAGAGCUAAAGCCACUCUCACAUACUGACCCCUGUGAAACGCCUGUGCAAGGAACAAGCAGCCAGCCUGCUUGGAGGUAAAAAUAUCCUUUUCUGUCAGUGGAUGUGUUUUUCUCUGGUGUCAGGGUUACAUGGAGAGUUGUCCUCUUGUGCCCAAUUAUUAUUACAAAAUAAAUACAAAAAGCAUUGCUACCAUUGCUACUCUUAAGCAAUAACGUGCAAACUCGUUCUUUUGGUGUGUUCACAGCUUCAGAUAUCUGCUAUGAUGUUUGCCCUCCGGAAGAGCUUGGGGCAGCUGGGUGGAGGCAGUGCUGUGCUCUUCAGCUGUGAUUAAUGCUAAGUUGUCCAGAAAACUGGCUGCUCUUUGGCUCAGUGAGCAGCACUGUUGUCUCCCAGUUGCAAGGUUAUGGGUUUGAAUUUCUCCUCCACUCUUAGUGGGGAGUGUAUCUUCCCAAAGAUCUUCAGUGAGGCUGAUUGGUACCUUAUGUGCUUCUCUCUCUGAUGGACUGGCAUCCUGUUCAGAAAAGAACUCUCUUUAAAUGUUGUACAAAUAUAUGAAAAUUCAUUCCAAACUUCAAAGCAAUAUGCCAAGCAUACAAGUAGAGGUGAAAAUGUAUCACAUAAAGUACCCUGACUAACAACCUGUCUCAGGUUACCUAAAUCAGCAAAAUCAGCAUAUAAAUACACCCCCAGCUGGGUGUAUGGGGGCUGUACACCCCCCCUCCCCCCAUGUGAGCAAUAUGAGGUGCAGCUAAAUUGCUUCUGAUGAGGGACAUUGAGUGUGUGCUCUGCAUUGCGCUGGUGUGCCUUGUGUUUUGCGUUUGCUUCCUGGAGCAAAAAUGUCGCUAUACCUGGGUGCAUGGUUGGAUAGAUCACUUAUACUCUGUUAUUAACUUGUCUUGAAUCUGAAUCAAACUGCACCAUCUGGAGCAAAUGAAGUUUUGCUCUAAAGCUCAUGAUGAACUGUAGCUCACUGGUGGAUGGUCCUGAGCUCCCAGAUUUCCCUAAUAAUAGCCAAACACAACCCUGGCUUUUCUAUUAUUUUGUUAUAAAUGUUUAAUGUUCUGCGAUGGGCUGGCCCCCCGUCCUGGGUUGUUCCCUGCCUCGUGCCCAUUGCUUCUGGGAUAGGCUCCGGACCCCCCGCGACCCAAUAGGAUAAGGGGUUUGGAAAAUGGAUGGAUGGAUGUUUAAUAUUCAAGAAUGUAUAGAAGAAUGUAUACAAUUCCUUAAGCAUGUGACGUGAAAUACACAGCCUGCCCUGUGACACUCUGGGACUGCGGUGAGGGAGACACCCGUGCCUCUGUAACCCCAGUCACAGACUAUGUACAGUAGGAGCUCUGCUUCCAGUUACCAAUACAAGGCAAUGCACGUCCAGUCCAAACCCGCAUAAGGGUCAUCCCAGGUUUUCCAGGGGAUCUCCAUUAGCCGCGCAGCCAGCACCGGUGCUGGUGGCCAGUAGACAGGAUCAGCAACAACACUGCAGCCCCAGAGGCACACGGUGAAAUUGCUUGGGUAUCUAAUGCUGGAGAAGAGAGGGGUUAGAGGAGGGGUGAGGGGAUAUG